ACCUUCCAGCGCUCACUCGGACUGUUUUCCUGGUUUCGACUCGGCUUGCUUCUGACCACUUCUCCUCGUCUCUGCCCCGUUGAUCCCGCUGCCUGCUCUUACUGGAUUCGUCUGCUCCGCUGCCUGCCUGAUGCCAGCUCUGUUUCCUCCUUGACCACGAGCCCUACCUGCCCCGCUCCGCAGUCCCCGCUUUUCCCACAAGCUCCCUGCUAACUGAUAACUGUCCCUACUUACCUGCAACCUGAAUAUACUCACCUUUGCUCCAUUCAACCUGCCAAAAGAUGAAAGGUCAUCAUCAACUACUCACCUGCUCUGUUGCGCUGCAAUUGG